AUACGUAGGGGGCUAGCGUUAUCCGGAAUUACUGGGCGUAAAGGGUGCGUAGGUGGUUUCUUAAGUCAGAAGUGAAAGGCUACGGCUCAACCGUAGUAAGCUUUUGAAACUAAGAGACUUGAGUGCAGGAGAGGAGAGUAGAAUUCCUAGUGUAGCGGUGAAAUGCGUAGAUAUUAGGAGGAAUACCAGUUGCGAAGGCGGCUCUCUGGACUGUAACGGACACUGAGGCACGAAAGCGGGGGGAGCAAACAGGAUUAGAUACCCUGGUAGUCCACGCCGUAAACGAUGAGUACUAGCUGUCGGGGGUUACCCCCCUCGGUGGCGCAGCUAACGCAUUAAGUACUCCGCCUGGGAAGUACGCUCGCAAGAGUGAAACUCAAAGGAAUUGGCGGGG
rnacentral:rRNA from 1 species